GAAUGCUGACAUAAGUAACGAUAAAGCGGGUGAAAAGCCCGCUCGCCGGAAGACCAAGGGUUCCUGUCCAACGUUAAUCGGGGCAGGGUGAGUCGACCCCUAAGGCGAGGCCGAAAGGCGUAGUCGAUGGGAAACGGGUUAAUAUUCCCGUACUUGGUGUUACUGCGAAGGGGGGACGGAGAAGGCUAUGUUGGCCGGGCGACGGUUGUCCCGGUUUAAGCGUGUAGGUGUGUGUUCCAGGUAAAUCCGGUUCACUUUAACACUGAGGCGUGACGACGAGGCACUACGGUGCUGAAGCAACAAAUGCCCUGCUUCCAGGAAAAGCCUCUAAGCAUCAGGUAACAUCAAAUCGUACCCCAAACCGACACAGGUGGUCAGGUAGAGAAUACCAAGGCGCUUGAGAGAACUCGGGUGAAGGAACUAGGCAAAAUGGUGCCGUAACUUCGGGAGAAGGCACGCUGACACGUAGGUGAAGUGAUUUACUCAUGGAGCUGAAGUCAGUCGAAGAUACCAGCUGGCUGCAACUGUUUAUUAAAAACACAGCACUGUGCAAACACGAAAGUGGACGUAUACGGUGUGACGCCUGCCCGGUGCCGGAAGGUUAAUUGAUGGGGUCAGCGCAAGCGAAGCUCCUGAUCGAAGCCCCGGUAAACGGCGGCCGUAACUAUAACGGUCCUAAGGUAGCGAAAUUCCUUGUCGGGUAAGUUCCGACCUGCACGAAUGGCGUAAUGAUGGCCAGGCUGUCUCCACCCGAGACUCAGUGAAAUUGAACUCGCUGUGAAGAUGCAGUGUACCCGCGGCAAGACGGAAAGACCCCGUGAACCUUUACUAUAGCUUGACACUGAACAUUGAGCCUUGAUGUGUAGGAUAGGUGGGAGGCUUUGAAGUGUGGACGCCAGUCUGCAUGGAGCCGACCUUGAAAUACCACCCUUUAAUGUUUGAUGUUCUAACGUGGACCCGUUACCCGGGUUGCGGACAGUGUCUGGUGGGUAGUUUGACUGGGGCGGUCUCCUCCUAAAGAGUAACGGAGGAGCACGAAGGUUGGCUAAUCCUGGUCGGACAUCAGGAGGUUAGUGCAAUGGCAUAAGCCAGCUUGACUGCGAGCGUGACGGCGCGAGCAGGUGCGAAAGCAGGUCAUAGUGAUCCGGUGGUUCUGAAUGGAAGGGCCAUCGCUCAACGGAUAAAAGGUACUCCGGGGAUAACAGGCUGAUACCGCCCAAGAGUUCAUAUCGACGGCGGUGUUUGGCACCUCGAUGUCGGCUCAUCACAUCCUGGGGCUGAAGUAGGUCCCAAGGGUAUGGCUGUUCGCCAUUUAAAGUGGUACGCGAGCUGGGUUUAGAACGUCGUGAGACAGUUCGGUCCCUAUCUGCCGUGGGCGCUGGAGAACUGAGGGGGGCUGCUCCUAGUACGAGAGGACCGGAG
rnacentral:rRNA from 1 species